AUUGAACGCUGGCGGCAUGCCUUACACAUGCAAGUCGAACGGCAGCACGGGAGCAAUCCUGGUGGCGAGUGGCGAACGGGUGAGUAAUAUAUCGGAACGUGCCCAGUCGUGGGGGAUAACGUAGCGAAAGCUACGCUAAUACCGCAUACGAUCUAUGGAUGAAAGCGGGGGAUCGCAAGACCUCGCGCGAUUGGAGCGGCCGAUGGCAGAUUAGGUAGUUGGUGGAGUAAAGGCUCACCAAGCCUUCGAUCUGUAGCUGGUCUGAGAGGACGACCAGCCACACUGGGACUGAGACACGGCCCAGACUCCUACGGGAGGCAGCAGUGGGGAAUUUUGGACAAUGGGCGAAAGCCUGAUCCAGCCAUUCCGCGUGCAGGAUGAAGGCCCUCGGGUUGUAAACUGCUUUUGUACGGAACGAAACGGCCUUUUCUAAUACAGAGGGCUAAUGACGGUACCGUAAGAAUAAGCACCGGCUAACUACGUGCCAGCAG
rnacentral:rRNA from 1 species